UGUAUAUUGCCAUGCUAGCUUGUGCUCGCCCCUUCAAUGUUCUACAUUCGCCUAGUUACAUCAAAGGUCAACCGUGUCAUACCUCCUCUAGCUCUAGCUGCUGUGGAACUAUACGCGUCGACUCCGUUUACGUCUGUGUACUUUCCGUAUCACUCGUUCCGCAUUCUUCGUAGCGUUCCGCACGUUCCGCAUUUUAGCAUAGAUUGUAUUACUAAGUAACAGGGAUUGGAAACUGAUGACGUCACACGGACAGACUCUGUAAUGGUGGAAAAGCAAUGGAAAGACUACACAAGCUCUUCUCCUAGUCUCCAACUGUAUUAAUUUGAAUUUUAUUUACUAUCGAUGAUGAACAGAUAGGUCUUGAGAGUUCAUGACUGUUCUUUGUGACGGUUAAGCAUAGUUUUGUUGACAGAAUCUUCGCCGCCUCUCGCGGCCCAUGUUAUCAUUGAAAUUGCCUUUGUGAUGGCACAAAUUAACGAAUACAGCUAUUAUUUUUCCAAAGUGCCGUCUAUGGCUUAUAUAAUAGGCUAAAGGCAUGUGAAAAACCCUGAUCUUUGUUACAGUUUUUGUCCUUUAUCCUAAUUUUACUUACUUUUUGUGAUAUAGGUUGAACAGAUACGCCUCUAAAAACAGACAUUUUGGGAUCUUAUGAUCUGUAUGAAGCACUAGUGAUAAUAAAAGUGUUUUAGUGGCAUGUAGCUUUACUUGAUGCAUGUUUUUUAUAUUGACACUCUCUCAGUUUUAGUUACCCUUAGCAAGUUAUAGGUUGAAUAGAUUUCACACCUAUUACGCAUGGUAAAAAAGCAUGCUUUUUCUCAUUUUUCUUCAAAAUAAAGUGCUGUAUUACAGUUUUAACAGUUUCUGAUAAGUAAUCAAACCUUCAGCAACAAUAUAAGCUAUAUAACUGCCCUGGAUCUGGCUUCAAGCUACACUUAAUCUAGCAGUCCUCUCAGUCAUAUUGCUCUAGUCUCAACGAGCCGGGGAAGGGGCAGAGUCUUACAAGGUUCGUCCGCACCUGCUUUCAUUAAUUUGAAUGAGAUCACGUGAUCUGUUUCCUAUCCCUGUUACUUAGUAAUACAAUCUAUGGCUAUAGCGAGCUAGCUAGACUAUCUAUGGGUGGGGUUAGUAUGCACGUACAUGUGUACAUGUUCAUGUAAUAUACAAGCUAAAGCUAUAUGAUACAUGUAGGUACACAUGUACAUGUACAUGUAGUUGUUACUUACAACAUUUGUGUAUACUUAAGCCAUGUUUGUCUAUCUGACACUGUGCUUUUGAUAUUUUAGCUGAACAAGUGAAUUGUACACAGUCAGUGUACAUGUAUAUACAUGUACAUGUGUUACGCAAACAGUGACAGUGUGUUUUCAAUAUGCAUGGUAAUGACAUUAAGUUUGUUUAAACUAUUAUACGUGUGCAUAUACAGCUACAUGUAAAUAAUGUAACGUACUGUACAUGUACAUGUACUUGACCCAAUGUCUAUUGUAGCAGAUUAAAAGCAUGACAUGUUUCUCAAUUCCACUAGUUUUCCUUACCACCAGCACAUGGUAUGAUUCACUUUGUUAGGUAACAAUAUCAGUCCAUCUGCCAGAACCUCUUGCCAAAUACUAGAAACUAUGGAAGUGCCAAUGUAGUCACUACGCUGUAUUAGUAAUUUAGUAGUGUAAACUGUGAACCAAUUACUACUUAAUGUACGAACAUGUACAUGUACAUGUACAUGUAUAUUUUUCUUGUAGCGGGAGCAGUGAUGAAGAGUCUGAUGAGGGUUCCAGCAGUCGGAUCAAGGAAAUUCAAAAACGAAAAACUCGCGAGUUUUUUGAAGCCGAAUUUAGAAAAAGAAGGAGAGAGACGACCAGUCCUGAAGUAGAAGAACUACCUAGUCCUGAUAGUAAUAUUAGAGAUCCUAGUCUAACCAAGAGAGUGUCUAAAUUGACGAUUAAAUAACGACUCAUAUGCGAUCCAACAAAGAAAAUGGCGAGUGAUGUUAAUGCAUCAUAUGAAUCGAGAAUUUUACUUAAUUUUAUCAAGUGCGUUGAAUUAUUAACCAAAAAAUGACAAUUUUUCAACAAUUAACCACCUUGGGCAAAAUUUCUAGCCAGUGCUCAAAGAUAUUCAAGGAACACAACAUUAGGAGACCACUUCAAACAGCAGAAAAGGGGCUUGAAAUGUCACCAAUAUUGAAGGUUUCAGCUAAUGCCUCAAAGUCAUGUCUCCUUCGUUUUCACAACAGAACUAAAGCGGUCACAUCUUCUGACUACUCAAUCAAUGGCUCUACUAUCUCAUGCAAGCAGCACUGUAAGGACCUGGGUGUGCUAUUCUCAUCAGACCUCUCAUGGUCAGACCACUACAACUCAAUAUCAGCAAAGGCUUACCAAACACUAGGUCUACUACGGCGGUCUUUCUCUCCAUCAGUCUCAGUUGGUGUCAAGAAAAGUCUCUAUCUUUCUCUUGUGAGAUCAAGAAUGA